GGUGCCGCGGCCGCAGUGGCCGAGAAGCGCUCGAGGGCCAGGGGGUCCCGGGGCAGGUGGAAGCGCGGGGCUGCCUCGUGCAGGCUCAGAAGAGCCCGAGCGUCCUCGUGUUCAUGUAGACGCCGGUGCCGUGAGCUCCUCUUCCAGAACAGACCAUCCUUCGGACCAGGUGGCCUUGCCAAAAUAUGCGUGUUUGUCAGAGUCACCAGCUGAGUAGCUGUCUGAGGUCCAGCGGGUUAUAGCCCCCGAAUUGGUAGCUUCAGUCCAGACACUCAAGAGCCUGCAGUCUGCCCUAUGCACCCCCUCAUGGCUCCAGUGCCCCUUUCCCAAUGCUGUGUUGUCAUCGCCAUCUGGCUUUCAGUCACCCAAAGAACUGCAAUCUUCUGAACUCCCCCCGCCACUGACCAAGCAGCAAGGCUUGUGCGUGCUCCCUCCUAGACCCCCGUCACCAUCAUUACUUCUGACACCCAGACCCUGCACCAGCUCACCCAGUGCCUGAUGGGCAUGUCUGGCCCCCCUGCCCUCCAGGCCCUGCCUCUGCCCCAACUUUCAAGAUGUCUGUGCUCCCUUUGUGUGAGCACACCUGACUGGCUGCCUCUGCCAGGAGCUCCAGUCCCCAGUAUCACUGUUCUGCCCCUUUUGCCGUUGUGGGCCCCUCCUCCACGACAUAUUUUUAAAUUAUGUUUUACAACUAUGUUGGUAUGAAGACAAAUGUAAUCCAUGCUA